rnacentral:rRNA from 1 species
UACGUAGGGCGCAAGCGUUGUCCGGAAUUAUUGGGCGUAAAGAGCUCGUAGGCGGCUUGUCACGUCGGUUGUGAAAGCCCGGGGCUUAACCCCGGGUCUGCAGUCGAUACGGGCAGGCUAGAGUUCGGUAGGGGAGAUCGGAAUUCCUGGUGUAGCGGUGAAAUGCGCAGAUAUCAGGAGGAACACCGGUGGCGAAGGCGGAUCUCUGGGCCGUAACUGACGCUGAGGAGCGAAAGCAUGGGGAGCGAACAGG